rnacentral:rRNA from 1 species
GAGAGUUUGAUCCUGGCUCAGGACGAACGCUGGCGGCGCGCCUAACACAUGCAAGUCGAACGGAAUUAAGAGGAGCUUGCUUUUCUUGAUUUAGUGGCGAACGGGUGAGUAACGCGUGAGUAACCUGCCCUGGAGUGGGGGACAACAGUUGGAAACGACUGCUAAUACCGCAUAAGCCCACGGUACCGCAUGGUACUGAGGGAAAAGGAUUUAUUCGCUCUAGGAUGGACUCGCGUCCAAUUAGCUAGUUGGUGAGGUAACGGCCCACCAAGGCGACGAUUGGUAGCCGGACUGAGAGGUUGAACGGCCACAUUGGGACUGAGACACGGCCCAGACUCCUACGGGAGGCAGCAGUGGGGGAUAUUGCACAAUGGGGGAAACCCUGAUGCAGCGACGCCGCGUGGAGGAAGAAGGUUUUCGGAUUGUAAACUCCUGUCGUUAGGGACGAUAAUGACGGUACCUAACAAGAAAGCACCGGCUAACUACGUGCCAGCAGCCGCGGUAAAACGUAGGGUGCAAGCGUUGUCCGGAAUUACUGGGUGUAAAGGGAGCGCAGGCGGACCGGCAAGUUGGAAGUGAAAUCCAUGGGCUCAACCCGUGAAUUGCUUUCAAAACUGCUGGCCUUGAGUAGUGCAGAGGUAGGUGGAAUUCCCGGUGUAGCGGUGGAAUGCGUAGAUAUCGGGAGGAACACCAGUGGCGAAGGCGACCUACUGGGCACCAACUGACGCUGAGGCUCGAAAGCAUGGGUAGCAAACAGGAUUAGAUACCCUGGUAGUCCAUGCCGUAAACGAUGAUUACUAGGUGUUGGAGGAUUGACCCCUUCAGUGCCGCAGUUAACACAAUAAGUAAUCCACCUGGGGAGUACGACCGCAAGGUUGAAACUCAAAGGAAUUGACGGGGGCCCGCACAAGCAGUGGAGUAUGUGGUUUAAUUCGAAGCAACGCGAAGAACCUUACCAGGUCUUGACAUCCGAUGCAUAGUGCAGAGAUGCAUGAAGUCCUUCGGGACAUCGAGACAGGUGGUGCAUGGUUGUCGUCGGCUCGUGUCGUGAGAUGUUGGGUUAAGUCCCGCAACGAGCGCAACCCCUAUUGUUAGUUGCUACGCAAGAGCACUCUAGCGAGACUGCCGUUGACAAAACGGAGGAAGGUGGGGACGACGUCAAAUCAUCAUGCCCCUUAUAUCCUGGGCUACACACGUAAUACAAUGGCGGUCAACAGAGGGAAGCAAAGCCGCGAGGCAGAGCAAACCCCCAAAAGCCGUCCCAGUUCGGAUCGUAGGCUGCAACUCGCCUGCGUGAAGUCGGAAUCGCUAGUAAUCGCGGAUCAGCAUGCCGCGGUGAAUACGUUCCCGGGCCUUGUACACACCGCCCGUCACACCAUGAGAGUCGGGAACACCCGAAGUCCGUAGCCUAACCUGAGAAGGAGGGCGCGGCCGAAGGUGGGUUCGAUAAUUGGGGUGAAGUCGUAACAAGGUAGCCG